UUACGGCCAUAUCACGUUGAAAUACCGAUUCUCGUACGAUCACCGAAGUUGAGCAACAUCGGGCCUAGUCGGUACCUAUAUGUGUGACGGUUUGGGAACACCAGGUCCUGU